AGUCAGACUUUUUUGUUUUUUUGUUUUUAGUUAACUAGUAAAAUAAAUACUUAAAAUUAAAAGAUGUAUUUUUAAUGUAUUCUAAUAAUUGAUGAUAAUCAAACAGGAACAAUCAAAUCAUAAUGAAGUUUGUACAAAGGGUUAAAAUUGUUCUUAUGCUAAGGAUAUUUUUUCUUUUAAUUUUCAGGCCAAGUCAUGUGUUUACGUUCAUUAAUAAUUCAUGAUUUUUAUCAUUUUUCAUCAAUUAAUAAUUACAAAAGUCUUAGAUUUUACAUUGUUGUGUCUUCAUGGGUUAAGAGUUUCAUUUUUUUUUUUUUUUUUUUGAUUUUGCUAAUAACUCCCCUAUGUGCAUGCCUGUUGUUUAUUGCGUUUCUUUCAGUGCACAUCUCUAAAGAGAGAUCUGUACUUCAGAAAAUGACCAGAAGAUGUCCCUUUAAUCCUGAAGACAUCUAUCAUUUUUAGAGUUAACUUGAGUUUUGACAAAACAUUCGUUUCUGAUUUCUAACUUCUAUGCAGUUUACAGUAUUAGGCUGCACUUUUACAAACACAAAUUAAAUGCUAUUUUUAAAUAUAUAAUUUUUUAUACAAACCAUAUACAAAAAUAUACCACAGAAGCAUACAUGUGGUUAUUUUUUAUUUAAAUAAUAAGUACGAAGUAGCACGCUAUACACCUGCCGCAGUGCGUCAUGGCGUAAGCAGCAACUCCCUACGCAUAUCUACAGAGAGCAGCAUGGAAAAGUUACUCCAGGACUGGCCGUUCAAACUAAGCUUUCAAAACUGGAGCACUGUUUCAAGAUAAACAAGAGUGUUCAGUUGUAAACGCAGAAGAAACGCUGAGCAGUGUUCGUGUUCAUCUCUGAGGCUGGGCUUCGCUCUGCGUUUCCACUGCUGAAAAAUUUAACAGCGGUAAAAUUAAUCAGCAGCUGCCAUGACUCAAGAAACUUAUUUCCAUCGACAACGAAAUGUUUAAGAGUGCUUAAAUGGAUGAAAGAAGAAGGUAAUAAAAAAGCGAUGGGUGGAGAGAAAUGCAAAAUAAGAGACUGAAGGUCUUCUGGAGGAGGAGGGCAGACAGAAUAACAGAGAAGAGAAAGAGAGCAGUUCAACUUUCCUGGAACUUUACAACUUUAAUUAACAUUUUUUUGUGGAAAUUCUAAUCAGCAGACUGGAGUGAGCUCUCUGCUGACACUUUCCAGAGUAGCCCGUUCAGCGUCGAUACACUGUAUGGGUACCAGCUUGACGUGGAUGAUAUCGAGCGAAGUGACACCAUUCGCCGACUGCAUUUUAACAAGCGGCCAGGGGUGGCAAAUGCUGCCUCUGAGCCACAACGCAUUAUAAACCCCACACACUGGACUUCCUCAGAGUCUUUGUCCUCUGUGAGCAGUGAUGAAACCAAGAAAACCUCUCCCUCUUCAUCCUCUUCCUCCUCUUCUGUCAACAAAAGAAGACCGCCACUUCCCCAUUCCAAACUUAAAUCUUCAAGUCAAAGACCAGAGGUCCCUCAAGACCUAGUAACCUGUCAGAGGAAUGAACAUGGGACGCCUGCCCCAGCCACACAACAUCCUACCCCAACCAAAUUAAAUCCUCUAGUGGAAAAGACUCUGAUGGAAACAUGUAUGUGUUUGGAACAUGAGAAAGGCUCAUUGCAGCAAGGACCUCGAGAACCGCAGCCACGGCGUAGACUGGCCAGUUUUGGUGGUCUUGGCUCUACCGGUACCCUGUCUCCAUACACAAGCUGGAGUGCCCUAAAUCAAGGUGCUAAGAUGACAGUCUUAGACCAGCCUAGGCAAGGUACCUUGUUAUUGGGGAGCGGCCUAAAAAUCAGCCCCUUAAGCUCAGGCCAGGCAUCUCCAGUGAGCGGUGUAAGCCCACUCCACCUGCAGAUGGUCAGGGAUCAGAUGGCAGCUGCUUUACGAAGAUUAAAGGACCUGGAGGAGCAAGUCAAGGCCAUUCCUGUCCUACAGGUAAAGAUUGCUGUUUUGCAGGAAGAAAAGAGACAACUGACCGCCUUGGUCAAGAGCCAAGAGGAAGCUCAAAAAUCUAGCUCUAGCACUGACAAAGAUUUACAAGAAUUGACCAGCAAGCCAGAGAUGGAGGGUUGGGAGCACAGUGCCAUCUCUAGUCUGACGGAUUUUCAACAGCUCAGUGUUGAAAUGCAACUGCUUGAAAGGAAGAUUCAAGAUGCACGUCUUGAAUCCUCAGCUUUCAAGAUGAGGGAUCGAAUGUGUGUCGCAGUUGGAGAUGACCGGCGCAUCGAUGAAGUCUAUGUCAUUCAUCACCACAAAUCAAACUUCAGUAAGGAUGUUGCUGUCGAUACCAAACUUGAGACUCAGUCAGUGGCUGUUGGUGUCACUGAGACUAUGCUCGGCGUGGUAUCCGACAAGGAAGCAGAAACCGAGUUGCAGCAGCAAACCAUCCAACAUUUGAGUGACCAGGUUCAGAUACUGGAGGCAGAGCUUAAAGAAGCAAUGCUCAAGGCAGAAAUGGGCAGGCUGAGGAGUGAACUGCGGGAAGCAGAAGCGAGACACCGUGCCGACAAAAGUUCCUCUGCACACCCGCAGGUAAACUGCGCCGCCACCCAGACUGAGUCGCAAACUCGCACUCUUGGGGUUGGAAACCACACCAACCUUGUGCAUUCUGCUGUUGGAAGAGGACUAGAGCAGAUUUCCAUUGAUGUUGGAAUUUCCUGCAAACCUGAGAUGAAGGUUGCAUCAUCUGGCCCAGAUACACCUAUGGAAGAGUGGGAGGUGCGCAAAAGAGUAGAGCAAAAAGAUCAGUGUGUCGGAAGUAAGAGUGUGUCAACACACAGUCAAGGUGUUGGGAUGACAGUGUGUGUGUGUGAUGCUGCCACAAUUACCUCGGAGACAUUGGAGAACAAAAGGAGCAUUUCCCGCCAAACAGUGGGCUGUGGUGACUGCACAGUCGACAUGGAUGUCAGAUCUGUCAAAUCACUAAUUUCCCAAGGAACUGUCACUGACCCAGUUCGAAGUGUUGACUUGGGUGUGAUGGCAAUCCCUCAGACCAUGUCUCAGCGUACCAACACAGCCUUUUGCACCGUCUCACGCAGCACCAGCACUUUGCAAGCCUGCAUCUCUGAAGCCAGCACCAACACAAAGCACACACUGACCAGGGAAAGACAUACCAACACAGCACAUGCAGUGACCCGAACUCUGGCGGUUGGAGAUGGGAAGAUUUGCGACCAAGUGGCUGCUGUUCAGAUGCGCUCUGUUGGAACCACUGCAUGCUUAGAUAGAAGCAAAAGCACCCCUGCUGUUCCUAGGGUUAUGACACGUGCCGUGGGCGUUGGAAUGGCAAAUGUCAAUGAGAAUAUCCUCAUCGGACUUCAUACACGCAAUAUUGCAUGUGGUCCAUCUCGUCUGCCAGAUCCGGUCAAGACGCGUAGCAUUGGCGUAGAAGUGGGAGACGGGAGAAUACACGACUCAGAGGGCCAAAUGUUUGUGCAGACUGAGCCUGGACUUGCCCUUUAUAUAGAUCGCAUGCAAAAAUUACUUAAAGAACAACAGGACCUAUUAACUGACAGUCACCCUGGGGCAAAACAUGAAGUCAUUCUGCAGUCCUAUUGUGUUUUAGAUAAACAAGUUGGAGUCCCAGUCAUUGCACAAAACCAGAGAUCAAAUGAAACUUCAAAAGUUAAAGAAAAGAAUCAAAUGGAGUUGCAGAUGUCUGCUGCUCUUCAUGGCUCACCCAGUGAUGAUCAUUGCCUCAGGUCCAUCAUGAAAAGGAGAUGCACCAAUCUGAAGUUCAUGGAUAGUAUGAACCCUAAGUCUGCCUCACAUAGAGGUCCUGUGGACUUCCUGUCUGAGGGUGGUGAUUCUGAGAAUGAAGAGCAGAAAAGAAGAGAAAAGAGGGAGAAAGAGGGGAGUGCCAAAGAUAAAGGGAAGAUUCCCAAGAGAAAAGAAAGGUAUAAAUUUAGUGAGAAGAUGCUUUCUGCCUGCCAAACUCUGGAGGUUCACCUCAAUGGCAGCAAGGUUAUAUCCAACAGAGAACUGCGCUCCUGUCUGAGCACAGUGCAGCAGGAGUGGUUCUGUGUGUCCAGUCAGAAGAGGGCAUGCCCACAGAUCGUGGAGGACUUUCUCUUCGCUUGUCGCCAUGUCUCGCCUGAUGUCCUGUGCUAUGUGGCCAACAUGGCUGACCAAAAUGGCAACACGGCCCUCCACUACAGUGUGUCACACUCUAAUUUCAGCAUAGUAAAGAUUCUGCUUGCUGCAGGAAUAUGUAAUGUUGAUUAUCAGAAUAAGGCCGGUUAUACUCCCAUAAUGCUUGCCUCCCUGGCUGCCGUGGAAAUGAAAGACGACAUGAUGGUGGUGCAAGAACUCUUCAGCAGAGGAGAUGUGAAUGCCAAGGCCAGCCAGGCUGGUCAGACAGCUCUCAUGCUAGCAGUCAGUCAUGGGCGUAUAGAUAUGCUCAGGGCUCUGCUGGCUGCUGGAGCAGAGGUCAACAUCCAGGAUGAUGAGGGGUCAACUGCUCUAAUGUGUGCUGGUGAACACGGCCAUGCUGACAUCGUCAAACUCUUACUGGCCCAGCCAGGCUGUGAUGCCACACUGACUGACAAUGACGAGAGCACUGCUCUGUCUAUUGCUCUGGAAGCUGGACACAAAGAUAUUGCUAUGCUUCUCUAUGCCCAUGUCAACUACUCAAAAGGCCAAACGAGGGGUUCCCCUCGAAGCAAGACUCCACCUGUUGCACGCAUAAGCUCUUCUGAUUGAUAUGACAUUUCCCCAUGCUCUCUUCAUCCAUUCAGACAUCCCCUCUGAACGACCUGUUCAAUCAUAUGACAGAGAUGAAUAUGACAGAUCUGACUGUAGAAUUCCUACAGUUGUAAUGCCAUCCAAUGGUGAAAAGCUGGACUGCAGAUGAUCAGCAGACAUGAGGAAGGUCAUGCUAACUCUAAGGAACAAAUCUGCAAAGAAAUAUUAUUAUUAUUAUUAUUAUUAUUAUAACAAUCGAAAUGACGAAAACCAGACUAAAACACCCAAUGUUUCAGUAGGUCGUUUAGAAUCUAAACAGUUUCCCCGAUACAUGAGUGUAAAUUAUUUGUUUCUUUUGAAUCGGCCAUAUCGUUUUUGAAUCAAUCUGAAUUGUUCUGACUGAUCACUCAUGAACUGAAUUGAUAAUUUUUCACUCCCUGAAAUGGUUUACAGGAUGCUGUAAAACAGAGAACAAUAAAAUCGCAGGAAGUGGAUAUUUGCCUACUAUUAAUUAAAAACUAUCAAUCUGUCAUUUGUCAACGAUGAAGAAGGUCUUUGUCAACACCUGAGUGAGGCGACUGUGGGUAAAGAUAUUUUCUGACCAAUAGAGUAUCAAGACAUUACAUGAAAACAUCAAAAGUACCAUGUAACAUGAAUAUAGUAGUAAUUAAUGACCAAGUUGUUUUGCCGUGGUUAUUAUACAGUACCUCCGCUCCCUAUACACAGAGUAGCCUACGCAGUUUGCAUAGGCCACCAACUCCCGGGGAGCAGGGGAAGCACCAUACCAGUUGCUCAAAAAAACCUUUAGUUCUAUAUUAAUAUUAAAAUUAACAUAUAUAUAAAUAAAAGAUAAAGAUGAACAACUAUGGCGUGAACAGACAUCAGCGAUCUGGCGCUGAGAAAAAAAAAAAAGAAGAAGAAGCCUGUGCAUCAAUUUCAGGCAAGGCUGUAACCAUGUCUUAAACCAUGUCUUUUUAAUGUUUUUUUUUUUUUUUUAAAGACGUUUCUUUCAUCAAUGCUGAUUUUGAUCAAAAAUACAGGAAAACAUUUUUUUGAUGUUGACAAUAAUGUGUUUUAAUGUAAGUGUAACCACCAACAGCGCAUCUAAUAUUCUCUCUGAGUUUUCAUGUUCCCUUACAAAAUCUAGCCAUGGUUUUACAAAUUAAACCAAAAAUCAUAGUUCUUGUAGCCAUGGUAACUACAAAUUUACCAAAUUAAGUUUUGUUUUCAUGGUUUAGUACAAAAAAUAUAUAUUUUUUGUGGUUAUAAAAUCAGACCAAGCCAACAACAGCCUUUAAAAUUACUUGCUUCAUUGAAUAAAACUGUAAAAAUACAUAAUGUAAUACAAAGUAGGCCGAACAAUUUAUGCACAUUACAUAGUAUUACAAGUGCUUACAAAAGGAGCCAAAGGCCUGGCUACUGCUGCUGUUAGUCCUUUAAUACCGACCAAACAUUUAAUUCAAAUAUUCUCUUAAUCUUUAAUUUUUGGCCACCUUUUUGCAAAAGAAAUGCGACAGCCUCAAUAAUUUCUGCAACAAAAAUGUGGACAUCCCAACUCUUACAAAAAGUUAACCAUGGUAGUUAAACUGCUUAGUUUUCUGAAUCCUUUAUUACUGUAUUAAUAAAAUAAAAAAUAGCCAAAAUCAUGUAAUGUGUUUCUGUCUACACAUCAAAAGAAAUGUGGAAAUUCUGUGGGAUUUCACAGUGACAUUUAGUUCGUUUUUCCCUUGGGGAACUUUAGCUGGUCCACCCAGAAGACAAAAAUAUCUUAAAAUGUUGAUAUUUGCCUGAACUGUAUAAUUCAUUUUUUUUAGAUUGAAGAACAGAAAAUGUGGCUUUUACAAACACACCUGGCCUUCUUGUGGCAUAUAAGAUAUCAGUGCUCAGUAGCACAGCCGGUGAUGAGCUAAUUUUACCAGCCUCAGCCGCUGUCUGCUCAGGAGGGAGCAGCUCCCACACCAGUCACAGAUACAGCUGCUCAGAAUGCUUUCAGUGGUGCAUUUCUAGAAACUGCUCUGGAUAUUUGAACAUAUUAUUAUGGCCGGCAGCCAUAUCACCCUGGAGCCCAAGACUGGUUGCCCACUGAAGCUAAGCAGAGCUGAGCCUGGUCAGUACCUGGAUGGGAGACCUCCUGGGAAAAACUAGUGCUGCGUUUCCACCGCAGGAACUUUACCCAGGAACUAGGACUUUGGCCUGGUACUUAAUGUGUUUCCACCGCAGGAACCGGGAACUAAAUAAAGUUCCUGGGAAAAACAUGCCCCUCAGAAAUGCCUUGUUUCCACCAAAAUUACCCGGAACAUUUGUACCAGGAACUUUUUUUUCCCCCAGACCUGUUGCUUUCUGCGUUUCCACCGCGAUUAGGCAAAUAGACUGGUUAAGUAGGUCUGCGCGCGUUUCUCAAUACAAAGUACGCUGAUUUUGGACUUGUAUCCUCGGUAGUUCAGACUUUGUGCAUUCGACUCGGGAGUGUGAUGUCCGCGACGACGUUAAAUCUGCAAACAGCAGCGUACUUGAUAACAUCCGUCAGCUCGCCUUGGCUACUGCAAUUUUCCUCUCUGUAUAUUUAAAAUAAAACAAUUUAUGAUAUCAAAUA